rnacentral:rRNA from 1 species
GACGAACGCUGGCGGCGUGCUUAACACAUGCAAGUCGAACGGAAAGGCCCUGCUUUUGUGGGGUGCUCGAGUGGCGAACGGGUGAGUAACACGUGAGUAACCUGCCCUUGACUUUGGGAUAACUUCAGGAAACUGGGGCAAAUACCGGAUAGGAGCUCCUGCUGCAUGGUGGGGGUUGGAAAGUUUCGGCGGUUGGGGAUGGACUCGCGGCUUAUCAGCUUGUUGGUGGGGUAGUGGCUUACCAAGGCUUUGACGGGUAGCCGGCCUGAGAGGGUGACCGGCCACAUUGGGACUGAGAUACGGCCCAGACUCCUACGGGAGGCAGCAGUGGGGAAUAUUGCACAAUGGGCGGAAGCCUGAUGCAGCAACGCCGCGUGCGGGAUGACGGCCUUCGGGUUGUAAACCGCUUUCGCCUGUGACGAAGCGUGAGUGACGGUAAUGGGUAAAGAAGCACCGGCUAACUACGUGCCAGCAGCCGCGGUGAUACGUAGGGUGCGAGCGUUGUCCGGAUUUAUUGGGCGUAAAGGGCUCGUAGGUGGUUGAUCGCGUCGGAAGUGUAAUCUUGGGGCUUAACCCUGAGCGUGCUUUCGAUACGGGUUGACUUGAGGAAGGUAGGGGAGAAUGGAAUUCCUGGUGGAGCGGUGGAAUGCGCAGAUAUCAGGAGGAACACCAGUGGCGAAGGCGGUUCUCUGGGCCUUUCCUGACGCUGAGGAGCGAAAGCGUGGGGAGCGAACAGGCUUAGAUACCCUGGUAGUCCACGCUGUAAACGGUGGGUACUAGGUGUGGGGUCCAUUCCACGGGUUCCGUGCCGUAGCUAACGCUUUAAGUACCCCGCCUGGGGAGUACGGCCGCAAGGCUAAAACUCAAAGGAAUUGACGGGGCCCCGCACAAGCGGCGGAGCAUGCGGAUUAAUUCGAUGCAACGCGUAGAACCUUACCUGGGUUUGACAUGGAUCGGGAGCGCUCAGAGAUGGGUGUGCCUCUUUUGGGGUCGGUUCACAGGUGGUGCAUGGCUGUCGUCAGCUCGUGUCGUGAGAUGUUGGGUUAAGUCCCGCAACGAGCGCAACCCUUGUUCACUGUUGCCAGCACGUUAUGGUGGGGACUCAGUGGAGACCGCCGGGGUCAACUCGGAGGAGGGUGGGGAUGACGUCAAGUCAUCAUGCCCCUUAUGUCCAGGGCUUCACGCAUGCUACAAUGGCUGGUACAGAGAGUGGCGAGCCUGUGAGGGUGAGCGAAUCUCGGAAAGCCGGUCUCAGUUCGGAUUGGGGUCUGCAACUCGACCUCAUGAAGUCGGAGUCGCUAGUAAUCGCAGAUCAGCAACGCUGCGGUGAAUAUGUUCCCGGGGCU